ensembl:lncRNA
CAUUGCGCUCCAAAAGGCGUCUCCCGUUGCUAAGCAGCAUGGCCUGCGCUCUCCAUGAAGAAGCGGAAAUUUCAGCAAAGGAUAAAUGGAUUUGACUAAAAGUCGCUUGCAGUAGCUCUGUUAUUGAAUUUAUCUAAAAUGGCUAUCCAUAUACAGCUAAGCUGUUCCUUCAUCUUGGCUGAGCUUUCAGUGUUGCUACAGGAAAGGAUGAAGCUGAUUGGUUGCUUCUUGUCACUUGACCCGCGGUGCGCUUGCAGCAUUCUGAAAAGUUGAAAUGUUUUUGAUGCGGCUCGGACGCGCCUGCCGCUCGUCUACUUUUGAAAUAACGAACUUGAGCGCACGAAAGACGCGAUAUGUGAACGGCCCCUACAUUCGUUUGAUUGCGGUUCUGGGACAGUUUAGAGCGCGCGCGUCCCUUACGAGCCGCCGUCGUUUAUAUUAGGCGCGCUUUUCCAAUCUUUUCCUCCUGAAUCAGAGCAAUGUGGUUUUAUUGCAACACUUUGCACGCUUGAAGUUUAGAAACGGACAGUGCGGACAGUUUCAUGUCAGAUUGACCCUGUGCUGUUUCCAAAACCCGGAUGUAAAUGAGAAGACAAGGGAGUACCUUACAACUAAAUGACUGAUAAAGGAACUGUUAAUGUUAGCAUGCUUUACAGGACCAGACCAGGAUCUAGAGCAGUUUUUGUAGAUCUUUAACAUAGUCUCCAUGCAUGCUGCUUCAUUCAGAAUUGAAAAGGAUUUGUCAUUGUUCAACAGAUGCAUUUUCAUUCUGUGCAGACCCUUUUUUUCCCUGGAUACCAAGUAAUAUCCAUCAGCAUGGAGAGGUCUUAAUGGCAAGCACCAGGCCCAUGCUGGACUCUUAACCCCACAUUCUUCACUGGGCCACAGCAGUAAUGGGGAUCAUUCGGAAUUGGUCCAUGGCAGGAGAACGAAGGCUUAUCAUUGAUCCACCAUCUCCCCUCCCGCGCCACUCCCACUUCAAAGCCACAUAAUGAGAAUAACCUGUGCCAGCCAGCCAGGGAAGUCUUUAGUAAGAAUUAUAGAUUGAGGUAAAGGAGAGGAAAUGCAUAGAAGCAGGAGGUUUAAAUGAGCUCUGUGGUGAUCAAGAAGCUCAGGAGAUGCACAGUGAAAGCAGGAAGACCGGGAAGAUGCAUUGGCUCGGCAGAGGCUCAGUGGAGGUCUGGAAAAGACCUUGCACAAAGCUCUUCCCUUACAUUAGAUUAGCCUUGUUCAGACACCCACUGAGCCCCUCUUGUCAACCCCCUGCUCAGCCCCCAGAGAGAGGUGUUUGCUAUUAGCCACUGACCUCCAUCCAUUCAGACUUGCUGAGUCUCUGCUCCUGACUUUAGAUCUGCCACACUAAUCAAAAACAACUCAGCCUCUCAAUCCUGGCAUUUUCUUUCUUCAGACAAGUAUUAGGAGGUGGACCCUAAUAUGGGGGUUUCAGGAUAUUGAUAAUAAUUGAAUAGCAUUAAAUAGGAUCAACGUUAUAGACAUUCCUGACCUCAAUUCAAAAUGUCAAUACACACCUAAAACGAUGGGGUUGGGGAUUUAUAUAGGAAGAUUAAAUGGACUUCCAGUUAUUAUUUGACAUUCUAGAGGAAUGUAAUGAGUACAUGUGAAAAAGAAAGAGAAUGAUUUAGUACACGUCCUGUGUUGGGGCUAACUUUACAAUCAUUAUUUAUCACUCUGAUGCAGUGGUUCCCAAUCCUGGUCCUGGAGUUCCCCCUUUAGGUUUGGAAACCACUGCUCUGAUGGACUAAGUUGUAAAAUUUCCAUCUCUUGUUAUUUAUUUAUUUAUUUAUUUUAUUAUUGUUUUCAUUUUCCUAAUCAUUAUGGAUGUUUUGAAUUUUGAUAUUGCUAAU